AGGGUUUGAUUAUGGCUCAGGACGAACGCUGGCGGUGUGCUUAACACAUGCAAGUCAACGAGAAUUUAUCUUCGGAUAAUAGUAAAGUGGCGAACGGGUGAGUAACGCGUAAAUAACUUGCCUUGGAGAUUGGGACAACAUCGGGAAACCAGUGCUAAUACCAAAUAAUGCAGCGGGCCCUUCGGGGCAUAGUUGUUAAAGUAGGCUUCGGCUUACACUUCAAGAUAGAUUUGCGUCCGAUUAGUUAGUUGGUAGGGUAAUAGCCUACCAAGACCGAGAUCGGUAGCUGGUCUGAGAGGAUGAUCAGCCACACUGGAAUUGAGAUACGGUCCAGACUCCUACGGGAGGCAGCAGUGAGGAAUUUUGCACAAUGGGCGAAAGCCUGAUGCAGCAACACCGCGUGAUUGAUGAAGUUUUUAGGAAUGUAAAAAUCUGUCGUAAGGGAAGAAAUGUUUCGGAUGUUAAUACCAUCUGUUACUGACGGUACCUUACAAGAAAGGACCGGCUAACUUCGUGCCAGCCC
rnacentral:rRNA from 1 species